rnacentral:rRNA from 1 species
UACGGAGGAUCCAAGCGUUAUCCGGAUUUAUUGGGUUUAAAGGGUGCGCAGGCGGAAGAUUAAGUCGGCGGUGAAAUUUUGCAGCUCAACUGUAAAAGUGCCAUCGAUACUGGUUUCCUUGAGUGUGGAUGAAGUAGGCGGAAUUUGUGGUGUAGCGGUGAAAUGCAUAGAUAUCACGAGGAACUCCGAUUGCGCAGGCAGCUUACUAGGCCAUAACUGACGCUCAGGCACGAAGGCGUGGGGAUCAAACAGGAUUAAAUA